GAGGCGCCUGCGACGUAGACCACCGACGAAAUCAUCAUCAUCAUCAUCAUCAGGGAAGCCCAAAAGCCAAAACACAAGAGAAAAAACAAGAAGAUGUUCCUCAGUGGUGGGGGGAAGGUGUUGGGGGAACUUGUGUUGACCAGCCGAGGCGCUUUUGGGUCACUCUUAACUUGGUUGCCGUCCGACAAGUCGGCUGCGAUGACCAAAAGCGGCAACCCAAAAGGAUCAUUCAGAUGGACUGACCGGAGCAUCGGAACUUGCUGCUUUUAAUCUGGGCGAUGCGUUUGUUGGCGAGGCGUCGCGGGCUGGCGCAGCGCGC